rnacentral:rRNA from 1 species
GAUGAACGCUAGCGGCAGGCCUAACACAUGCAAGUCGUGGGGCAGCAGGUCUGUAGCAAUACAGAUGCUGGCGACCGGCAAACGGGUGCGUAACACGUACGCGACCUUCCCGUUACUGUGGCAUAGCCCAGGGAAACUUGGAUUAAUACCACAUAUUAUAUUGAGGAGGCAUCUCUUUGGUAUCAAAGCUUCGGCGGUGACGGAUGGGCGUGCGGUUGAUUAGGUAGUUGGCGGGGUAACGGCCCACCAAGCCUACGAUCAAUAGCUGAUGUGGGAGCAUGAUCAGCCACACGGGCACUGAGACACGGGCCCGACUCCUACGGGAGGCAGCAGUAAGGAAUAUUGGGCAAUGGACGCAAGUCUGACCCAGCCAUGCCGCGUGAAGGAUUAAGGUCCUCUGGAUUGUAAACUUCUUUUCUCUGGGGCGAAAACCAUCUAUUCUUAGGUGUUUGACAGUACCAGAGGAAUAAGCACCGGCUAACUCCGUGCCAGCCGCCGCGGUAAAAC